GUUGGCUACGGGGACAUGCACCCCGUAACAAUCGGGGGAAAGAUAGUGGGGUCUCUGUGCGCCAUCGCUGGUGUGCUGACCAUCGCUUUACCUGUUCCCGUCAUUGUCUCCAAC